rnacentral:rRNA from 1 species
CCCUUAGAUGUCCUGGGCUGCACGCGCGCUACACUGAUGUGUCCAGUAAGCACCUAACCUCUUCCGAAAGGAACGGGUAACCUUUGCAAAGCACAUCGUGAUGGGGAUAGAUUAUUGCAAUUAUUAGUCUUGAACGAGGAAUGCCUAGUAGGCACGAGUCAUCAGCUCGUGCCGAUUACGUCCCUGCCCUUUGUACACACCGCCCGUCGCUACUACCGAUUGAAUGGCUCAGUGAGGCCUUGGGAUUGGCUUAGGAGGGUUGGCAACGACCCCCCAGAGCCGAAAACUUGGUCAAGCUCGGUCAUUUAGAGGAAGUAAAAGUCGUAACA